rnacentral:rRNA from 1 species
AUGAACCAUCUUGUCUGCCUAGGCGAGAAUGUCGCACCACCAGAGCUGCUUCUCCAGCGAUGCAAUGUUGUGGUUGCCAAUCAUGUUGCAGUACUGAAGAUUGAGGCCCUCCAACUUACCCAUGCUGCCCAAGAACUGCACGCUCACCUGUGUGACCUUACAGCAGCCAAACAGCGAGAGGACACGGAGCUUGAAGUGCUUUGCGGACGCCAGGCUUGCAACACCGGAGUCGCUGACCAUGCAGUUAGAAAGAUCAAGCUCUGCAAGCUCAGUGCAGUUCUCAGAAAUACAGAAGAGGCUUGCAUCUGUUAUCUUGCUGCAACCCUCGAGACUAACUUGCUUAACAGAUUUUCCAUGUGCCUUCACCAGGGAAGAAACAGCAACAUCUGUGAUGUUCUUGCAACCACUCAAGUCAACCUUGACCAGGCUACCCUCGGAAGAUUUUAUCAACGGAAGAAGCCCAUUGUCAGUGACCUCACCAAGACCACUCAGGUCGACUUGCUCCAGCUGAGGGCAGAUCAUACCGACCACGGCCAAGCUUGCAUCAGUGAAACCUGGGCAAUCCUUGAUUGUCAAGAAACGUAG